AUGAGAGUUCUAGAUUGUGUGUUCCUCCUGGCUCUUAUCUCAGCUGUUCAGGGGCAGUCACUCACCUCCUCUGAGCCAGUGAUGAAGAGGCCUGGAGAGUCAGUAACACUGUCCUGUACUGUGUCUGGUUUCUCCAUGGGUAGCUACUACAUGCACUGGAUCCUUCAGAAACCAGGGAAAGGACUAGAGUGGAUUGGAUACAUUGACACUGGAACCACAGCUUAUUUUGCCCAGUCUCUCCAGGGCCAGUUCACCAUCACCAAAGACAACUCCAAAAACCAGCUGUACUUAGAGGUGAAAAGUCUGAAGCCUGAAGACUCGGCAGUUUAUUAUUGUGCCAGAGACACAGUGACACAGGAGACUGCAGCACCGUACAAAAACUGUUCAACACUGAUCACAGUAUGA